GUGAAAUUCAAUAUAACUAGCUCCCUGAUAGUAAAUCAUUACUCUAUGUUUCCUGCAGAAACAUAAUGAUGUAAAAGUAAGAUUAAUUGUACAAACUAAAAUGAAGUAAUGAACAAUAGGUAUUAGUCCUACAUAAGAAAUAAAUCAAGCAGCCACGAAAAAUGCAUGCAACAGGGUGUAGAGAUAUUUUGGGCUGUAGGCUGCAGGGAGUUCUCAAUCUAUUCUACCUAAAAAUGAAUGUUGCCUGGCAGGUCAACAAAGAACAAUAAUCCAAUUUCUUUAUAAAAAGCA
rnacentral:misc_RNA from 1 species